rnacentral:lncRNA from 1 species
AUUGACAUGGAAGGUGAAGACUUCAAGUCCCUCACUCACACUGACAUUAUACUAUUCACUCACUACAUCGUAUGGGAUACCAGAAAAUGAAUGGUCAGUGGGUAAGAAAAGCUGAGGGAGGACAUGUUCAUGCAUCUGGAUCUUCAUCAUCCCUCUCAGACUCUACCGACCCAUCCUCACUAGCACUUGCAACUAGACCAUCUUCACCAGCACCAGCACCGACCCCCACAUCUAUUGCAUGAAAGCAUCUACUUGGAGCUACUAUUUCUCCCUACACCCCUUUUAUGCAUCAUGGUUUCAGUUCUAAAAGGGUUGUGGAGAAGAUUAUGGAAAAAAUGGAAGCAAUGUUUACCGAUUUUAAACAGCAGAUACUUUAGGAUCUUGAGGAGCACAGGAUAUCAUCUCAGGGACAGCAUGAGGAGCUUAGUCAGUAGAUUAAUGGUUUGUCUUAACACUUAGAGAUUUUGGAGA